AACAAGGCGUACCUGCGGACCUGCGGAAGGAUCAUUAUCGAGAGUGUAUGGACCCCCUUAUAAAAAAGUGGGGUUAACCUCCCGUCCUUUGAAGGUCCCUCUUUGUUGAGGGUAAUUUGAACCCUUCUGCUUCGGUGGGUUUACUCACCGGAACAACCUCAAAAUUCUUGUUCAACAGUUCAGUCCGAGUGGUAUAUUAAUUCUGAAAACUUUCAACAACGGAUCUCAGAUCGGAAGAGC
rnacentral:misc_RNA from 1 species